rnacentral:misc_RNA from 1 species
GUUGUCAUGACGACAACCUUUUAUUCUGUGGCCGCCAACCAUCUUGCCAUUUCUGUCUCAAGGUUUGUGAGGACAAACUUGCAGAGGAAACGUUAUUGUAUAUUGGUGCAUGCGUGUGUAACUAAUUCACGGAUUCAGUGUCACCCGAGAUCUACAGAAAUAGUGCUGUUCCUUUGUUGUUCUAUAAUUUUGUGCCAUGUUUAGAGAUGUUUGUACCAUGACAUUGUCAAAAAAACUGACUAGUUUCAUUCUUGCUUUACCAUGACCUCUGUUGUCAGGGAUAAAUUAUUUUGUAGAAUUUCCUACAGGUAUAAAUUGUCAUUUAUAUCAGUAUGUUUUUUUCAACAGGCAAUUAAGUGCAAUUUCCUCAUCACCAUUAAUUAGCUGUGUAGUCUUCGUUUUUCUCAAUGUACAACGUGUUUAUUCAUAAGAUUUUGCAAUAUUUCAUAUUGUGCGUGACUCAGAGAGCACAAGAUUUUGUCAAUGUUUAACCAUGACCCAAGAAAAUUUCACAAAAAAAGUUAUUAACACUUAUAGACUAAACUGGAAAACUGUUGUAGAUAUGUUUGAACAUCUUAUAAUCAACUAAUUCGUUAAGAAAUCGUUUUAUGCAGAUUUAAAUGUUCUGCUAUUUAAAACAGAAAUGUGAUUAAUAAACUUAAGAAAAU